rnacentral:rRNA from 1 species
UACGUAGGGUGCGAGCGUUAAUCGGAAUUACUGGGCGUAAAGCGUGCGCAGGCGGUUAUUUAAGUCAGGUGUGAAAGCCCUGGGCUUAACCUAGGAAUUGCGCUUGAGACUGGAUAGCUUGGAGUGCGGCAGAGGGAGGUGGAAUUCCGCGUGUAGCAGUGAAAUGCGUAGAUAUGCGGAGGAACACCGAUGGCGAAGGCAAUCCCCUGGGCCUGCACUGACGCUCAUGCACGAAAGCGUGGGGAGCAAACAGG